rnacentral:rRNA from 1 species
AAUGAACGUUGGCGGCGUGGAUUAGGCAUGCAAGUCGAGCGUGUACCCCGCAAGGGGGAAAGCGGCGUAAGGGAGAGUAAUACGUAGAUACGUGCCUCCGGGUCUGGGAUAGCCACGGGAAACUGUGGGUAAUACCGGAUAAUGUCUGAGGACCAAAGGUGUGAUUCCACCUGGAGAUCGGUCUGCGUCCUAUAAUGCUUGUUGGUGAGGUAACGGCUCACCAAGGCAACGACGGGUACGGGGAGUGAGAGCUUGCCCCCGCUCACUGGGACUGGGACACUGCCCAGUCACCUACGGGUGGCUGCAGUCGAGGAUCUUCGGCAAUGGGCGCAAGCCUGACCGAGCGACGCCGCGUGCGGGAUGAAGGCCUUCGGGUUGUAAACCGCUGUCAGUGGGGAGGAAGGCUCCGUGAAGAACGGGGUUUGACCUAUCCGCAGAGGAAGUGUGGGCUAAGUUCGUGCCAGCAGCCGCAGUAA